UAAUAAUUCUCUUGUCCGUGCGUAUCGUCGCGUCACUGCGUCGCUUCGUUCGCUGCUGGUAUUUUCGCUACGUUGUUUGUGUGUUCGUAAAUAAUAAUUAAGUGUCAAAUAAUUUUUUAAAUAAUCAACAUAAAAUUAUUGAUGAUGAUUAGCUACAAAAGCAAUUAACCGUUACGCAUAUGUAAGAAAUUACAUACAAUUGCAAAUAUAACGCAUUUCUAUAACGAAUUCCGCGCUAAUAACAAAAACAAUUAGCUAUUGUUUAAUAACCACAACAACAACAGUGCCCGCAUACACAGAAAUCGAAAAUCUAAGCGCCAUUCCGAAAGUCCACAAAAAAGAAGCACAAAGUGCACACAAGUGCUGUUAAAACCGUUGGUGUAGGCGUGCGUGUGCAUUGGCGUAUGUGUGCGAGUGUGUGUGACCGAGCAUGUGUUUGUGAUUUUAUAUGUUGUUGUUACUUAGCCCAUUCCGCAAUCUAGUUAAAAACACACACAUAUAUAAAUGUAUAUGUGUAAUCAAAUAUUUCAGCAUAAACACAAAUAAUUUUGUUGCAAGGUGCAAACAACUAUUAAGCAACAGUUUACAGUUGAAAGCCAAGUCACUUGGGCGUCUGGCAUCUGGUUUCUCAAGUCUGCUCAAGUUUGCUGUUGUUUUUUCAUGCUCCGGCUUGUGCACACAUAAAAUUUCCAAUCAAUUGAAAUUGGGUUCAUUUCGUAAGGUAAG